CCUACGGGAGGCAGCAGUGGGGAAUUUUGGACAAUGGGCGCAAGCCUGAUCCAGCCAUGCCGCGUGCAGGAUGAAGGCCUUCGGGUUGUAAACUGCUUUUGUACGGAACGAAAAGACUCUGGUUAAUACCUGGGGUCCAUGACGGUACCGUAAGAAUAAGCACCGGCUAACUACGUGCCAGCAGCCGCGGUAAUACGUAGGGUGCGAGCGUUAAUCGGAAUUACUGGGCGUAAAGCGUGCGCAGGCGGUUAUGUAAGACAGAUGUGAAAUCCCCGGGCUCAACCUGGGAACUGCAUUUGUGACUGCAUAGCUAGAGUACGGCAGAGGGGGAUGGAAUUCCGCGUGUAGCAGUGAAAUGCGUAGAUAUGCGGAGGAACACCGAUGGCGAAGGCAAUCCCCUGGGCCUGUACUGACGCUCAUGCACGAAAGCGUGGGGAGCAAACAGGAUUAGAUACCCUGGUAGUCCACGCCCUAAACGAUGUCAACUGGUUGUUGGGUCUUCACUGACUCAGUAACGAAGCUAACGCGUGAAGUUGACCGCCUGGGGAGUACGGCCGCAAGGUUGAAACUCAAANAGAGUGAGNGNGAGAGNGCGAGACGACACGAGGAGGAGG
rnacentral:rRNA from 1 species